rnacentral:rRNA from 1 species
GACGAACGCUGGCGGCGUGCUUAACACAUGCAAGUCGAACGGUGAAGGGACUGGUUUUGCUGGUCCUGGAUGAGUGGCGAACGGGUGAGUAACACGUGAGUAACCUGCCCCCUUCUUCUGGAUAACCGCAUGAAAGUGUGGCUAAUACGGGAUAUUCUGGGUCUGUCGCAUGGUGGGCCUGGGAAAGAUUGCGCCUUUUUUGGUGUUUUUGGUGGGGGAUGGGCUCGCGGCCUAUCAGCUUGUUGGUGGGGUGAUGGCCUACCAAGGCGGUGACGGGUAGCCGGCCUGAGAGGGUGGACGGUCACACUGGGACUGAGACACGGCCCAGACUCCUACGGGAGGCAGCAGUGGGGAAUAUUGCACAAUGGGCGCAAGCCUGAUGCAGCGACGCCGCGUGAGGGAUGGAGGCCUUCGGGUUGUGAACCUCUUUCGCCAGUGAAGCAGGCCUGCCUCUUUUUGUGGGUGGGUUGACGGUAGCUGGAUAAGAGGCGCCGGCUAACUACGUG